CAUUACUGUGUUUACUGUAUGUAUACUUUUUACAUUCUGUUGUCAUUUUCAGUUAGCUGUACUGUUAGUAAUACUUUCAGGGUCCUUAAAAAUACCCAUACAUCCCAAGUUUCCCCUUUUAGGAGGGAAAGUCCUAUUUUGGGCCAAAACCCAUUGUCCCUCUUUUUUAGGAACUUCAUAUUGUUGGUGUGUCUUGUAGUAUAACUGAGCUCCACAACAAUAAUAUUAAAUUUAAACUACAAUAAAUGUAUUAAGAAAUCAGUCUGUUUAAAUAAGAUACAUUUUUCUUAUUAUAAAUUAUAUUUGAGUUACAUAAAUUGUUAUUAAUAAUUCUAAAAUUUCUCAGAGCAGCCCUGCCCCUGGCUGCACCACCACUCACACCCACAAAAUGAAAGUGUUCCUCUUUGUCCUUUUGAAAUGUUGGGAGGUAUGCAAAUACCUAUAAACAGACUAGUUUUAUUUUUCUAUAUUUGUCAUACCUGCUGUAUAUGAGAAAAAUAUUAUUUUUGCCUACAUUCCAUUUCAAACAUGGUGUGAAAUAUUGCAAAAUUAAGAACACUUUAUACUGUCUAAAACUUUCAUUCCCCAAAAGAUUGCCAUAAAGGAUGAAUGAACAAAUGAAAAAU